GGGGUGGUUCCAUGGCCCAGAAGCACUCUAGCUACAGAUUAGAAUGAUGACAAGAGUAAUACCUUCCUAGUGAAGAUGACUUUUAUUUCAGGACUAUAUUAAGUUUCCCAACUUCUGUCAUGAUAUAGUCCAAAGAGAACCUGGACCACGCAGACAUCAAACAGAACAUGACACUGACCCAUUCUAUCAGUGACGUUGUGCUGAUUGCACAGGACAGAUGAGAGGCUCGUAUACUAGAAGUCUUGAUGAAGAAAAAUUGUGCCCCAGCAAGGAUUAUACCCAGAGCCUCAUCCAUUCAUACCUGAUUUAGAUACUUAGAUGAUGAGUAAUAGAAAAGCAUCAUCUUUAUGUAAAUCACUGUACUUGGCUUCGUGAGAAAUAUAAAAAUGAAUUGCUUCAAUCCCUGGACUCAAGGAUCCUGUGUUACCAAGGUGGUUAUCAAACCUGGGUCAAAGUUGAAUCACCUGAGGAUCUUUUAGAACAUACACAGUCAUAUGAUACUUCAAAAUCUGUGAUUCCAUGAAGCCAAGAGUAGCUCUUCAACAGGAAAUGAAUGAGUGCUUCAGCUUCUGAUCCCAUUAGUAAGAAAAUACAGUCUUAUGAGCAAUGAUGGAGCUGCAUCUCUUAGGGGCAUUUGAUUCCCAAGAGACCAAAGAGCAAAGAGAAUGUCAAUUUAAAAAAAUCAAAUGUUUCCAUGACUUAGCUAUUUAACUGCUUUAAAAUGAAUGAAUGCUGCUUCAAGUUCUUUCAAAUACCCCACAUCUUGGCAACAACGAAAGGAAUUAACAUGAAGAAAAUUUACAAUCUUUCAUCACAUCGAACAAUGUCCCACAUUUGAAAAGUUCACAGCACAGAUUUCUGGUUACUGAAAGAAAGGAAAGACCUUCUUUGGAUUUGAAUAAACAGAUGGACUUUCUUCUCCU
rnacentral:lncRNA from 1 species